rnacentral:lncRNA from 13 species
AUUAAAAAACAAAAAAAAUUUACCUCUCAUAAAACAUGUAUUUUUUAAAAUUUGUAACUAGAGACCAACACAGAAGGUGGCUGGCAAGAUGGCAGAAUAGGAACAGCUCCGUCUGCAGCUCCAGCGAGAUAAAUGCAGAAGGUGGAUGAUUUCUGCAUUUCCAACUGAGGGCCAUGAAAUUCUUCAUGCUCUGGGAUUUUUGUUUUCCUGAAGCCUUUGACACAGAGCUUUCAUUGAGAAGAGGAAAUGAAGAAAGAAGCAUGGUUCCAAGUACCAUGAAUAGCCCCACCCGAGGGGAGCAGUUUGUGUGUGCAGAAAGCGCCCUGGGGGUUGUUGAUGAUGUAAGACAAAGCCCACUUCAUGCUGGAAUCUACGCUCUUGAGGGCAAGGGUCUGGUCAAUUUCCUUACUUUAUAUCCCUCACUCAAAGCAAGUGCUCUACAUCUUGGAGUCUUAAUGGGAGAGAGGAGGCGACAAU